rnacentral:ribozyme from 1 species
UGCCCAGCAAGUUCUAUCCCUACUUCCUCGUGGUAUCGGCCGGAAACUAUGAGCAACCUUAGGGAAGAUCGGGUAACCAACUUCGGUGGAACUUUGGUCUGCAGGCAGACAGGGAAGG